rnacentral:rRNA from 1 species
GACGAACCGUGCGAACGUUAUUCGGAAUCACUGGGCUUAAAGCGCGUGUAGGCGGGUCGGCACGUCCGUGGCUGAAAGCCCCCGGCUCAACCGGGGAAGUGGCGCGGAUACGGCCGAUCUGGAGGGGGGUAGGGGGACCUGGAACUUCCGGUGGAGCGGUGAAAUGCGUUGAGAUCGGAAGGAACGCCCGUGGCGAAAGCGGCAUCCUGGCCCUGACCUGACGCUGAGGCGCGAGAGCGUGGGGAGCAAACCGG